AAGAAGAUACUAAGGGCGCACGGCGGAUGCCUUGGCACAGGAAGUCGAAGAAGGACGCGGCAAGCUGCGAUAAGCUCCGGGGAGGCGCAAACGGCCUUCGAUCCGGAGAUCUCCGAAUGGGGGAACCCAGCAGGGGUCAUGCCCUGCUACCCGCGCCUGAAUGAAAUAGGGCGCGAGGAGGCAACCCGGGGAACUGAAACAUCUAAGUACCCGGAGGAAGAGAAAUCAACCGAGAUUGCGGGAGUAGCGGCGAGCGAAACCGCACCAGCCCAAACCCAUGCACGUGCAAGCUUGAGGGCGUUGCUGCAUGAGGGGUUGUGGGACCGCGCAUUCCAUGGGCCUCAGACCAUGGACGCAGUUACAAAUCCGCGCGGAAGCGGAACGGCCUGGGAAGGCCGGCGGAACAGGGUGAGAGCCCCGUACGCGAAUCCGCGCGGACUGCGAGUGCGGCACCCGAGUAGCGCCGGGCACGUGAAACCCGGUGCGAACCUGGGGGGACCACCCUCCAAGGCUGAACACUCUCCUGUGACCGAUAGCGAACCAGUACCGUGAGGGAAAGGUGAAAAGCACCCCGAGAGGGGAGUGAAACAGUACCUGAAACCGUGCGCCUACAAGCAGUCGGAGCCCCCGAGCGGGGUGACGGCGUGCCUUUUGUAGAAUGAGCCAGCGAGUUGCGGUAUGCGGCGAGGUUAAGGUU
rnacentral:rRNA from 1 species